rfam:Chryseobacterium sp. T16E-39 chromosome, complete genome.
CAUGCGAGAGCCGAAAAGCAUAUAGAGUAGGCG